rnacentral:rRNA from 1 species
AGAGUUUGAUCAUGGCUCAGGAUGAACGCUAGCGGCAGGCUUAAUACAUGCAAGUCGAGGGGCAGCGCAGUGUAGCAAUACAUGGGCGGCGACCGGCAAACGGGUGCGGAACACGUACAGAACCUUCCUUUAAGUGGGGAAUAGCCCAGGGAAACUUGGAUUAAUACCCCGUAAUAUUAUGAAGCGGCAUCGCUUUAUAAUUAUAGCUCCGGCGCUUGAAGAUGGCUGUGCGGCUGAUUAGGUAGUUGGCGGGGUAACGGCCCACCAAGCCUACGAUCAGUAACUGGUGUGAGAGCACGACCAGUCACACGGGCACUGAGACACGGGCCCGACUCCUACGGGAGGCAGCAGUAAGGAAUAUUGGUCAAUGGACGCAAGUCUGAACCAGCCAUGCCGCGUGGAGGAUGAAGGUCCUCUGGAUUGUAAACUUCUUUUCUCUGGGGCGAAAAAAGCUCAUUCUUGGGCACUUGACAGUACCAGAGGAAUAAGCACCGGCUAACUCCGUGCCAGCAGCCGCGGUAAUACGGAGGGUGCAAGCGUUAUCCGGAUUCACUGGGUUUAAAGGGUGCGUAGGAGGGCAGGUAAGUCAGUGGUGAAAUCCCCGAGCUUAACUUGGGAACUGCCGUUGAUACUAUCUGUCUUGAAUAUUGUGGAGGUAAGCGGAAUAUGUCAUGUAGCGGUGAAAUGCUUAGAUAUGACAUAGAACACCAAUUGCGAAGGCAGCUUGCUACACAACUAUUGACUCUGAUGCACGAAAGCGUGGGGAUCAAACAGGAUUAGAUACCCUAGUAGUCC